AGUUAGCCCUGAUGGAAGCGGCAUCUCCCGAUUUAGAAAAACAAGGCUUUUUUGCCGUAGUUUUUAUUUAUCGGGAAUACAGCGUAGAGCAGGAAAAAGC
rnacentral:sRNA from 1 species